CGUUCUCUUCUUUGCUCCUCUCUCCUUCCUCUGCUCCAGCAGCGUAAAGGGCGCGCGCUGCACCGAGCGGCCGCGUUGAGAGUCGGCGACGUCGGCGCCAACGUAGUGCGUACAGCCUGGCCAGCCGUGCUCGCCGGCCAAACAUGGUCGACCGGUCGCGUCGAACCACCUGACUUGGGCUGCUCGGGAGCAGGCUCGGGAAGCAGCUGAUCGUCACCGUGCUCCGGGCCGGCUUCAGCUUUCGGACCCCGGUUCUCUUCUCGGCGUUCUCUGCGCGCCGAAGAAGCUCAUCUCGUUCGGCAGGCAAGCAAGGACCGUUUUGGGGCAGAAAAAGAGAAGUCGCGGUGUGUGCUCGCCGACUCUCUCUCUCUCUCGAAGGAGCGAGUCGCGUUCUUCGGCCACCCAAGCAAGCGUGCUCGUGUUUUUAUGUGUGUGUGAGUGUGUGUGGGCGCCCUGUCUUUCCGCCAAAAACAAACACGAUGACCCCCGCGACGUCGGUUCAGCGCGGAGAUCCGCUGUCGUGCUCGCGGCUAAGAAAGCUCGUCGUAUCGCUGUGAUGCCACGCUGAACCACCACCAACGUUGCAUGUGUUAGUCGUUUCCCUCUGGCGGUUCGCCAAGUGUCGAUUGUGCGCUAUCCAGACGUGUGCGUGUGUGCCUUCUGUUUCUCCGCGACUGUCCCAGGGGCCAACGCCUGUGUGUCGUCUGCACGACUUUCGCUUCCUAAACCUUUGACACGUGAUGACACGACUUCAAGAAGUUUGAAGACAGUUACGCCCGGCUUUGAGGGAUCGCCCGAGCGGGCAGCUGCACGACUUCUGCGUGCAACAGAUACUGCAGCUGGCUCCAUUCAGUGGUCGUCCAAGCAGGAGGGGCCAAAGAGGUACACAUUAACAAGUCGUUGCAGAAUUCGUAAAGAGGCCUGCUUUCACCUUGCGGUCGUCUAUACAGGGAAACUGCACGAAGGUACGUAUUACAUUUAGUACACAUACACGUCCUCGAACUUUCAAUUUUCGGGAAAAAAAGUUUGCGUGAAAAAGAAACGCGCCACUGUUCGUAUAGCGUUCCCUAUAUUUUAGUACUACUCGUGCUGCUCGCGCUAUGAGAACCAUUCGCAAUAUGAAUACGCGUUUUUUUUUUUUGUAAGCUCGGCCGGAAAAAAAUUGCGUUCAUCAGAACCGCCGUAUUCCGCGCAAGCCUGCCUUUCUCUAGUUUUCUUCUUCUUGUUUUUUUUUUUUUAAUGGUUUCGUCCAACUAACUUUGGGAGCCGCUCGAAAAAGAUAUUACCGAGCCUUGUGAUAAAGAAAUACGAGGCAGGCCGGUUUAGGUCGUCUUAGUCUAGCUUUCUUCCCGUUGACCAGCAAUGCGAUUUUAACAAUUUAGUUAUUCUUUGGGGUUAAGUCGCUGUGAGGCGCGGAUUUAACACAAAAUGGGCAAAUUUUUUUUUUAGUUUUCUUUGGGAGUGCUGGUGCCCCAGUUUUUUACUCCAGCGUGAGAGGAUAGCUAGGUGGGAUGGGAAACUGCACUACUGACAGUUAAUACCGAUGCAUUUGCUUCGAGAAGCGGCGAAGAAGAAAAAAAGACUGAAUGAAUCGCGAAUAAAUUAAUGAAUCAGCGCAUGACUUGCUUCGUGUAUCACCGAACGAAAUGCUGAAGUGAGUGACUGAACGAAUUAAGUAAUGCAGGGAAUAACGAACGAGUGCAGGGUCGAAUCAACGGAUAAAUUCCUGCAUGCACUAUUGAGGGAAAUAAUGAAUGCACGGAUGAACGAAUUCCAGUGCAUAGUAGAACGAUGAAUGAAUACAGUAUUGAAUAAGUUAAGUAAAUCGCUUGCUUGCAUGCAUGAUUGAAUUCAGUAGUGAAUGACUGAAUGUGCAAAUCGUUUGAUCAGGGGAACGACGAGUGAACGCAUGACUGGACGAAUCGACGUAUUAAAUUUCUCCAUAUAUGAAUUAAUGAAUGAACGAGUGAAGGCAGUAACGAAGGAACGCGUGCUUGAAGGAGUCAUUAUUGAUUACGUCGUUGAAUGAACUGACGAAUAAAUUGCUGCAUGCGUAAAGUAAGGUUUUGAAUGAAGUAAAUAAUGCAUAAAUGAAUGAACAAGUGAAUGGUGGAUAGCAAUAAAGGCAAGAAGAAGGAGAGCAAGCGGGAAAAUGUCAAAUAAAUAACUGAAGCGAAUACUUCAGUUUGAAUGUUGAGCACGCAAUAUCACUUACAGCUCAAUAUUAAUUAUUUGCAACUGUCCCCGCUUUAGGUUGCGGUACAAAAUUGGUGUGCGCUACGUAAAUGGAGAUAGCAAUAUCCUCAAAUCCACGGCUUUAACCUCAAACCCGGCUUUUCUUAUGCCAGCUUCUUUAUUUAUUUGACCUUAUAUUCGUAUAAAUUUUUUUUUCAUUCUUCUACGUCAUCCACGUUUUCUUUUUUUUUUUUCAGCAGAGCAUGAAGUUGACUCUAUGGCGCUUAACUUUGAAAGCUCGUCGGCUUGUUUGACGUACUGGGAUCUAUCAACUUUGCAAUCGCGAUAAAUUCAUCGUGCAAUAAGAAAGAAUAUAUGUAACUCUUCUUUCUUUUUCAUCUUGAAAGAUUGCUUGAGAUGUUGUACUGUCUUCGGCAGUUUAGCUUUUACGCGUGUCUUCGGGUUGAGAAAGCCUAUAGCGCGUGUAUGGGGUUUUUGCAUAAUCGCAAUAUUUGCCGUCAUAGAAGAGAGAGGAUGUUUCUUAUUUUGAUGUCUUUACCAGCAGUGACUGCUUGGCUGAAAGUAGUCAGACAUGAUGGAUUGGUUGCUCGUUCGGCGAGAGAGUUAAUUGAAUUCGCUUCCUGUCAAAAAAAGGAAAUAGAAAUGAAAAUACAAAAAGAUGCCUCGUAGGGUCCUGUUCUUCGUAGGAAUCUUUUUCUGGUGUGUACGUUUUGACGUGUUUUGCCAUGGUAGCCGCCUUCUAGGCAGUGCUUUCCUUUGGAACAGAAACCAUACGUUGACUAGCACAAUAUGUCGCGUACACUCGGACGGAGUUACUGGGAUGAUUGAUCGAUGCGGUUAGCGACCCAACGAACUAACUGCACCGUGACGGCGCUAUACUUAACUUUGUACACACUUGAUUGAGUAGACGACGGAGCAGAUGGAGCAGUCCAUGUGGAGAAAAGGUCGCGACAGCAGGGCCUUUCUUCACCUGGACGUCGUAAGCUUUGUUUCUUCAUUCUUUAUUAAUUAUUUAGUGCGUUGGCAUUAUGAGUCUCAAACACGCACACACACACCUGUGUGUGUGUUAGACACUCAUAAUGCUAAUGCACUAAAAAAAGAAUAUAUAUAUUUCUAGCGUAAGGAGUCAACAAACAAUGACGCCAAGGACAACAUAGGGCAUAUUAUGCGUACUUACUAAGUGAAUUAAAGAAAUUAUAAAUUAAUGGAAAUGAAAGUGGAUGAAAAGAAAACUUGCCCUAGAACUAACCCUGGGAGUGUUUUAGCCAGCGCCUGCACUCGCAAACCUUGGCGGCGGUUGUGGAACAUCCUUUCUGCCGCAGGCGUCACGAGUUCGUGGCCUUUUUGGGUCAAGGCAACUGUUCAAUAAGCCCACACGUGCUACCCGAAGGCAUCAGGGUUGCCGGAUUCGAGACCCUCGCUGCGUAACGAACGAGAAGAAACCGAGGGGCCCGGUAUCUAUGAAUCAUAGCA